rnacentral:rRNA from 1 species
AAGGUUAAGAGGGAUGCGUCAGUCGCAAGAUGAAGCGUUGAAUUGAAGCCCGAGUAAACGGCGGCCGUAACUAUAACGGUCCUAAGGUAGCGAAAUUCCUUGUCGGUUAAAUACCGACCUGCAUGAAUGGCGUAACGAGAUGGGAGCUGUCUCAACCAGAGAUUCAGUGAAAUUGUAGUGGAGGUGAA